AUAUAGGCAAAUCCGUAUAGCUAGAUGUGAGGUUUGACAUGGAAGGAGAAAUCCUGGAAGGUGCAAAUCCUACACUGCCGAGAAAAGCUUCUAUUGAGAGAGUAAGUACCCGUACCGAAAACCGACACAGGUGGAUGGAGUGAGAAACUCAAGGCGCGCAGGCUAACUAUCGCUAAGGAACUCUGCAAAAUGGCCCCGUAACUUCGGGAGAAGGGGUGCCCUUUAUUGUUAACAACUACGCGUUGUGAAGCGAUGAGGGGUCGCAGUGAAAAGGUCCGGGCAACUGUUUAACAAAAACACAGGUCUAUGCUAAGCUGAAAGGCGAUGUAUAUGGGCUGACACCUGCCCAGUGCCGGAAGGUUAAGGGGAGGAGUGAGAGCUUCGAACUGAAGCCCCGGUGAACGGCGGCCGUAACAAUAACGGUCCUAAGGUAGCGAAAUUCCUUGUCGGGUAAGUUCCGACCUGCACGAAUGGUGUAAUGAUCUGGACGCUGUCUUGGCGGUAGGCCUGGCGAAAUUGUAGUAUGGGUGAAGAUACCCAUUACCCGCAGGAGGACGGAAAGACCCCAUGGAGCUUUACUGUAGCUUGGUAUUGGGUUUUGAUUAUGUGUGUAUAGGAUAGUUGGGAGACUUUGAUGUAUAGCCGCCAGGUUAUAUGGAGUCGUCGGUGGAAUACCAACCACAUAUCGUUGAAAUUCUAAUCAGGGAAGUGAAUUCUUGGAGACAGUGCUAGGUGGGCAGUUUGACUGGGGCGGUCGCCUCCUAAAGAGUAACGGAGGCGCCCAAAGGUUCCCUCAGACUGGAUGGAAAUCAGUCGUAGAGUGCAAAGGCAUAAGGGAGCUUGACUGUGAGACAGACAUGUCGAACAGGUGCGAAAGCAGGGCUUAGUGAUCCGGUGGUUCCGUAUGGAAGGGCCAUCGCUCAACGGAUAAAAGCUACCCUGGGGAUAACAGGCUGAUACUACCCGAGAGUCCAUAUCGACGGUAGUGUUUGGCACCUUGAUGUCGGCUCAUCUUAUCCUGGGGCUGGAGAAGGUCCCAAGGGUUGGGCUGUUCGCCCAUUAAAAAGGUACGUGAGCUGGGUUCAGAACGUCGUGAGACAGUUCGGUCCCUAUCCUCUGCGGGCGUAAGAGUAUUGCGAAGAUCUGUCCUUAGUACGAGAGGACCGGGAUGGACAAACCUCUGAUGUAUCAGUUGUCACGCCAGUGGCAUAGCUGAGUAGUCACGUUUGGAACGGAUAACCGCUGAAAGCAUCUAAGCGGGAAACCAGCUUCAAGAUAAAUACUCUCAUGCGCAAGCAAUAAGGCUCCUUCUAGACUAGGAGGUUGAUAGGUUGGGGGUGUAAUUGCAGCAAUGCAUUUAGCUGACCAAUACUAAUAAGCCGAAGACUUAACCU
rnacentral:rRNA from 1 species